rnacentral:rRNA from 1 species
GAGUUUGAUCCUGGCUCAGAUUGAACGCUGGCGGCAGGCCUAACACAUGCAAGUCGAGCGGAAACGAGUUAACUGAACCUUCGGGGAACGUUAACGGCGUCGAGCGGCGGACGGGUGAGUAAUGCCUGGGAAAUUGCCCUGAUGUGGGGGAUAACCAUUGGAAACGAUGGCUAAUACCGCAUAAUAGCUUCGGCUCAAAGAGGGGGACCUUCGGGCCUCUCGCGUCAGGAUAUGCCCAGGUGGGAUUAGCUAGUUGGUGAGGUAAUGGCUCACCAAGGCGACGAUCCCUAGCUGGUCUGAGAGGAUGAUCAGCCACACUGGAACUGAGACACGGUCCAGACUCCUACGGGAGGCAGCAGUGGGGAAUAUUGCACAAUGGGCGCAAGCCUGAUGCAGCCAUGCCGCGUGUAUGAAGAAGGCCUUCGGGUUGUAAAGUACUUUCAGCAGUGAGGAAGGUGGGUAUGUUAAUAGCAUACUCAUUUGACGUUAGCUGCAGAAGAAGCACCGGCUAACUCCGUGCCAGCAGCCGCGGUAAUACGGAGGGUGCGAGCGUUAAUCGGAAUUACUGGGCGUAAAGCGCAUGCAGGUGGUUUUGUUAAAGUCAUAUGUGAAAGCCCGGGGCUCACCCUCUGAAUUGCAUUUNAAAACUUGGCAAAACUAAAAUACUGUAGAGGGGGGGUUANAAUUUUCUGUGUGUAGCGGUAAAAUGCGUNNNANAUCUA